GCAGAUUGGGGAAAAACAAACAACAAACG
rnacentral:piRNA from 1 species